CUACACAGGCGUGAGACAAAGACAUCAGUCGUCAAACACUAAACUUAUUAAAAUAUUAGUUAUUCACGACGAACGAUCGAGUGCCUGCACGUGUAGGAAGGCAAAACAGCAAAUAUUUCAGGAUGGUAAUCGACCUAUUCACAAGCAAUGUGCACUGUGAAUCAACGUCACUCCAAAACCCGAUGGCACACUUCCCUUCGACAAGAUUUACGUUACGUUUGCUUUCGAGAAAGAGAGAAACAGUCACGCAUAUCAACGACGCCACGUUUUUCGCAUUAUUGUUAUUUCAUAAAAGAAACAAAAGAUGUUUUUCGUGUUUUCACUGGCUUAUGCAAACCUGGGAGACGUUUGUGAGAACUCUCGAGCAUGUGCAGCCCUCGACCGUCGGUCUCAGCGAUGAUCUUGUGAAAACCUCUCAAAUACGUCGUGUAAAAAUCUUCAAGGAGAUAUGCUAUAAGCCCUAUGGCCCUGGAUGUUUUCUAUUUAUAAUCGAUAUAUGAACAUCAUUUUUAGUGUUAUAAGUUGGUUUCAAACGGAGAAUUUCUUUAUGUUUGAAGUUUCAUUCAAAAAAUCUUUCUUGUUUAAUAUUGGUUUUUCUAAAUGUCCUCGGGAGAUAUUUGAACGCCGUCACAUAUAUAUAUAUGUGAAACAGUGAUUAAUAAAAUAUAUCAAUCUUG